rnacentral:rRNA from 1 species
CCUACGGGAGACUGCAGUGAGGAAUAUUGGUCAAUGGACGAGAGUCUGAACCAGCCAAGUAGCGUGAAGGAUGACUGCCCUAUGGGUUGUAAACUUCUUUUAUAUGGGAAUAAAAUGUUCCACGUGUGGGCUUUUGUAUGUACCAUAUGAAUAAGGAUCGGCUAACUCCGUGCCAGCAGCCGCGGUAAUACGGAGGAUCCGAGCGUUAUCCGGAUUUAUUGGGUUUAAAGGGAGCGUAGGUGGAUUGUUAAGUCAGUUGUGAAAGUUUGCGGCUCAACCGUAAAAUUGCAGUUGAAACUGGCAGUCUUGAGUACAGUAGAGGUGUGCGGAAUGCGUGGUGUAGCGGUGAAAUGCUUAGAUAUCACGAAGAACUCCGAUUGCGAAGGCAGCUCACUGGACUGCAACUGACACUGAGGCUCGAAAGUGUGGGUAUCAAACAGGAUUAGAUACCCGUGUAGUC